rnacentral:rRNA from 1 species
UACAGAGGGGGCAAGCGUUGUUCGGAAUUACUGGGCGUAAAGGGCGCGUAGGCGGCCUUCUAAGUCGAACGUGAAAUCCCUGGGCUCAACCCAGGAACUGCGUCCGAUACCGGAAGGCUUGAAUCCGGGAGAGGGAUGCGGAAUUCCAGGUGUAGCGGUGAAAUGCGUAGAUAUCUGGAGGAACACCGGUGGCGAAGGCGGCAUCCUGGACCGGUAUUGACGCUGAGGCGCGAAAGCCAGGGGAGCAAACGGGG